GACAGAGGGUGCAAUCGUUGUUCGGAAUUACUGGGCGUAAAGCGCGUGUAGGCGGUUCGAUAAGUCGGAUGUGAAAGCCCCGGGCUCAACCCGGGAAGUGCACUCGAUACUGUCGAGCUAGAGUAUCGGAGAGGUUGGUGGAAUUCUCGGUGUAGAGGUGAAAUUCGUAGAUAUCGAGAGGAACACCGGUGGCGAAGGCGGCCAACUGGACGAAUACUGACGCUGAGACUCGAAAGCGUGGGGAGCAAACAGG
rnacentral:rRNA from 1 species